rnacentral:rRNA from 1 species
UACGUAGGCAGCGAGCGUUGUUCGGAAUUACUGGGCGUAAAGAGUGUGUAGGCGGUGCUCUAAGUUCGGUGUGAAAUCUCCUGGCUUAACUGGGAGGGUGCGCCGGAAACUGGGGUGCUCGAGUGUGGGAGAGGAAAGCGGAAUUCCUGGUGUAGCGGUGAAAUGCGUAGAUAUCAGGAGGAACACCUGUGGUGUAGACAGCUUUCUGGACCAUUACUGACACUGAGACACGAAAGCGUGGGUAGCAAACAGG